rnacentral:rRNA from 1 species
GAUGAACGCUGGCGGCGUGCCUAAUACAUGCAAGUCGAGCGAACGGACGAGAAGCUUGCUUCUCUGAUGUUAGCGGCGGACGGGUGAGUAACACGUGGAUAACCUACCUAUAAGACUGGGAUAACUUCGGGAAACCGGAGCUAAUACCGGAUAAUAUUUUGAACCGCAUGAUUCAAAAGUGAAAGACGGUCUUGCUGUCACUUAUAGAUGGAUCCGCGCUGCAUUAGCUAGUUGGUAAGGUAACGGCUUACCAAGGCAACGAUGCAUAGCCGACCUGAGAGGGUGAUCGGCCACACUGGAACUGAGACACGGUCCAGACUCCUACGGGAGGCAGCAGUAGGGAAUCUUCCGCAAUGGGCGAAAGCCUGACGGAGCAACGCCGCGUGAGUGAUGAAGGUCUUCGGAUCGUAAAACUCUGUUAUUAGGGAAGAACAUAUGUGUAAGUAACUGUGCACAUCUUGACGGUACCUAAUCAGAAAGCCACGGCUAACUACGUGCCAGCAGCCGCGGUAAUACGUAGGUGGCAAGCGUUAUCCGGAAUUAUUGGGCGUAAAGCGCGCGUAGGCGGUUUUUUAAGUCUGAUGUGAAAGCCCACGGCUCAACCAUGGAGGGUCAUUGGAAACUGGAAAACUUGAGUGCAGAAGAGGAAAGUGGAAUUCCAUGUGUAGCGGUGAAAUGCGCAGAGAUAUGGAGGAACACCAGUGGCGAAGGCGACUUUCUGGUCUGUAACUGACGCUGAUGUGCGAAAGCGUGGGGAUCAAACAGGAUUAGAUACCCUGGUAGUCCACGCCGUAAACGAUGAGUGCUAAGUGUUAGGGGGUUUCCGCCCCUUAGUGCUGCAGCUAACGCAUUAAGCACUCCGCCUGGGGAGUAC